rnacentral:rRNA from 1 species
GGUUGUCGUCAGCUCGUGUCGUGAGAUGUUGGUUAAGUCCCGCAACGAGCGCAACCCCUAUUGUUAGUUGCCAUCAUUCAGUUGGGCACUCUAGCGAGACUGCCGGUAAUAAACCGGAGGAAGGUGGGGAUGACGUCAAAUCAUCAUGCCCCUUAUGACCUGGGCUACACACGUGCUACAAUGGUUGGUACAACGAGUUGCGAGUCGGUGACGGCGAGCUAAUCUCUUUAAAGCCAAUCUCAGUUCGGAUUGUAGGCUGCAACUCGCCUACAUGAAGUCGGAAUCGCUAGUAAUCGCGGAUCAGCACGCCGCGGUGAAUACGUUCCCGGGCCUU